GACGAACGCUGGCGGCGUGCUUAACACAUGCAAGUCGAACGGAAAGGCCCUUCGGGGUCCUCGAGUGGCGAACGGGUGAGUAACACGUGGGUGAUCUGCCCUGCACUUUGGGAUAAGCCUGGGAAACUGGGUCUAAUACCGAAUAGGACCACGCGCUUCAUGGUGUGUGGUGGAAAGCUUUUGCGGUGUGGGAUGGGCCCGCGGCCUAUCAGCUUGUUGGUGGGGUAAUGGCCUACCAAGGCGACGACGGGUAGCCGGCCUGAGAGGGUGACCGGCCACACUGGGACUGCGAUACGGCCCAGACUCCUACGGGAGGCAGCAGUGGGGAAUAUUGCACAAUGGGCGCAAGCCUGAUGCAGCGACGCCGCGUGAGGGAUGACGGCCUUCGGGUUGUAAACCUCUUUCAAUAGGGACGAAGCGCAAGUGACGGUACCUAUAGAAGAAGCACCGGCCAACUACGUG
rnacentral:rRNA from 1 species